AAUGGGCACUAUUAGGAUAAAAAUUAACAAAAAGUAAUUUAUUUUGUAUUAACCAUCUUUUUUUUAUAAAAAAAAAAAUGCGUGUAUUAACAAAAGUUUUCGUUUUGGAAACUAUAAAAGUAGCGUAUUUUAGACGUCACCACCGCCUUUCUUCCCCUGAUUUCAAAUUAAAGAACCGGAGCUUCAUCCGCUACCAGCGCAUCAUAGAGUAGUCCACCGAAUUGCUGCUCUUAACUGUCCAUUGACAAUUUGACGUUGUUCGAUCAAAGCCCUAAACCAAUCUAUCUGCUAAGGAGACGGGAAGCGUUAAGUAUUUUGGUCAGAGGUUAUCUUGUAUGAUUUCACAAGGGUUGUUGAGGAAUUGGUUUUGAACAGCCUUGAUGCUGGUGCCGUUCCAAAGUUUUAAUAUUCCUUGUUGAAUGGAAAGAUGUGAAGUUGUUCUUGAAGGCCCCACUCGAACAACUCUAAAAGACACUCAAUUGGACAGAUUUUCGUCAACGCCCUCAGUGGCCAUUUUCCUUUACACGGUCUAGACUUUUUGACUUUGAUUGUUUCUUAAAAAAGGGAAAUUAUGCGAUGUAAGAAAAUGGGGAAUGAUAUGGUUCAUAUUCUCUGAUUUUGUAAAUGUUUGGAGGAUUAGUAGAGGUGGGCUGCGGGGAACAUCAUAGUUAAGUGACUAACGAUGGCAACUCGUGCUUUCAUGUAGUUUUAAUUGUUUAGACUUAUCGCACCAGUGAAUCUGUGUGUUGCUUGCACAAAAGGCAUUGAUCGGUGAGGCUCUUCAAUUAUUUCUUAUGUUCCUUUGGUUACCAAUACUUCCUUAUAAGACUGUUCUUGUUCUUUUGUGUUUGUUGUUCUCAUUGGGACCUGCUAUGUUAAGGUGGAUGACAAUGAAAGCUCUGCUCAGUUUGUGCUUCAUCACCUGAAGUUGUACUUUCUUUUGAUGGUGUCUCACGAGAUGGACGGGUGCUUAUGAGAGAAAGAUAUGGUGAUAUUUUUGCAAAAUGCUGUACUAACGUCAUCUUUUCUAUUGUAUUGCUGCUGCUGUUUUGCAUGACAACUAUGAUGUUGAUAGAUUGGAAUGGUUGUUGUUGUUUAUACAAUUGCAUGCAUUGCUCAACUGAUAGGCUCUUUGACAGUUUGUGUUCAUUAAUAUCUUUUUAUAGAUGUUCUUUUACUUAUUAUUUUGUGAUUUUACUUGUAAUUGGGAGGACUGGUAUGGCUGCACAAAACAUUGAUUUUUUAGAUUUAGAUUUUGGUUUUAUUGCAAGAUGUUCACGUACAUCGCAUUCCCGGUUCUUCAUUUGCUAUAAUAUAUUUUCUCUACCUGUGCCGCGUCCCCAAAAAGGGGAGGGCUGGAAGUGUGUAUAUAUACACACACACAGAGAGUGAGAUAUGAAAUAUAUUUUUUGUUGCUCACUACUGUAUCUAGAGAUGUUUUAAUUACUUAUUCCAGCUGAAGUUGAGUUGGAACAUACAUAUUGGUGAUUAGGUACUUUUAGCCCAGCUUAUAGAGACAGUAUAUGUGCCUGAUUCUUCAUCUUCUGUUGUGUUUCCUUUUUGUCUGGCCAUUUGAACCAUGGUUUUGAAUGCUUGCUUUACACCAGCGACAUCGAAAUACAACAUUUCAGAUGAUAUGCAUCCCUUCCCCCGCAAGCUUUGGCUGAAAAGUAGAGGCUCCGAACUCUUAGAUUUCGGAUGCUUUUUGUUGGAAAUUGGUACUAAAAUCACGGGAGGCCAGAUGGAUAUUGUAAGGUUUUAAAGGUACAGUUUUUGAGUUUUAGUUGGUAGUAUCCAUUAGGAUAGGUAUAAAACUACUAACUUUGUCUUUGUUCUUGCCAUUGUUGACAAGACGGCAAGUGUUUGUACCUUGGAUUCAAUGAUUGUAGACAAAAUAAUUGUACAACAGGUAAUCUGUAUAUAAGACUACCUGAUACAUGUGUUGAGUGUUGACUACUGUUUGCUCAUAAGUAAAUUUUUUGGGAUUUUUCUCUUUGUAGUCAUUGUUCGUGAUGCUAUUACAACCAACUAGUUCGACGGUUUGCAUAUAUAAUUUGAAGGCCAAUGAGGGUCUUGCAUUCUCUGAAGAGUCUCUGUUAAUUAAGAAUCGCCCUUGUGCAUCCGAGUGUCUCCUUCAAAAUUGUUGAUAUGGAAAGCGAGGAGGACCUGCUUUGCACACUUGCUUCUCCUUCUCCUUGGAGCUACCCUUGUCUUGGUGAGGUCCAAGGCAACCCGGUAAGGCAUCUUUGCAACCGAAAUCUGCAGCCAUGGCGGUUGCUUUGUCUCCUUUUGUCUGGUUUUUAUAACAAAUUUGAGCCUCAGGAGAAAUGAUUGGCUAAAAGACGCUUGAAGUUUUGUGAAUUUUCUUUGUUAGGUUAGCCUUAAAAAGGCAAGAAUGAGGCAGCAGAAAGUAUGGGAUUUCUAUCAAGAGUGGUUGUCUUUCUCUCUAUGCUUUGCCUAUGAUUCUCCAUUUAUUAGAACAAACCAACAACCCUUAAAAAAGAAAGAGACAGAGAGAGUACACUUGAGUUUCUGGGUUUCUUUGAUUUUUUUCCACCCUUAGACGUAUGCUCAAUACACACAACUACACUACAACAACAUGACUAUAAAAAUUAUUAAAGAAGCAGUCAUGAUUUCUGGGCUAACUAAAUUCGGGCAUUGAGAUUACCCAACCUUUAUCUUGGGGGGGCAACCCGGUAUGUCCUGUAAUUGAGAUGCAUAACUCACACAUGCAACCGAGUGUUGCAGCUAUGGCGUGGUUGGCCUUUCUUUCGCCUUAUCAUUACACAAAUCUGAGCCUCAAUUUGCUGAAGAAAAAAGGGAAAAGGGUCAAAUUUAACCUUUUACUAUGCAUAAGGGGCAAUAACUUUUUCAUGAUUAAUGGGGGGAGAUAUUGAACCUACGCCCUUCUGAUUUGCAGUUUUAAUGUUUUUCAUUCGCGAUGUAUCUCCAUCUUUUGAUAAGUAACAAGCUCUGUUUUUUUUUUUAAUAAGUCCCACAAGGGGAGUGUAUUUGAUAAUUCAAACGGAGAUCGAGAGGGGCGCUGGAGCCUAACCUCUGCAUACAAAUAACUUGCAAAUACAAUUUGACCUAAGCAAUAUACAAGAUGGAGAUGAAGAAACUCCUGAGCAAGAGCUCACAAAAGUACCAAGUGUAAAGACACUUAGUAAAUCCAAAAGAGAUAAUCAGCUCAAGAAUGAGGCAUUUUAAUGAAAUGUUGGAUUUGUGAGGGAUGGUUGCCUCCCUUAUCUGGUAAGCCCUGAUAAUUUUUGAAGUUCUGCACUUAUGUUGAGGAGUUGGUUUUCAACAUCCUAGAUGCUGGUGCCACCAAGGUACUCAUUUACCCUUUCAAAGUUUUAUUAUUCUUUAUCAUUUUACUAGGUAUUGAAUGGAAAGAUGAUGAGUUGUUCUUGAAGGCUCCACUCGUACAACUGUAAAAAAUUAAGUAGUUUAAUCAUAAGAAGUUGUGAUUUGUAAUAUUUUAAAUGAAGACACUCAAUCGGACCGACUUUCAUAAAAGCCCUGGGUGGCCAUUUUCCUUCACAUGGUCUAGACUUUCUGAUUUUGAUUGUUUCUUAAAAGUUGAAAUUGUACCAUGUAAGAGAAUGGGUAAUAUAUGUUCUGAUUUUAUUAAUGUUUUGAGGGUAAAUAGAGGUGGGUUGCUGAGAAUAUGGCAAGUGGGCGGUGAGGCUCUUGAAUGAAUUCUUACGUUCCUUCAUUUCCUACUUCUAAUGAUGAGGACAUAUGCUUAAUAUGAAAUUGAUAUACCUUUUCUCCUCUUAGUAUGAUGUUUAAUUCAAGUAUCAUAAUUUUUUUCCCCAAAUGAACAUUCUUUUAGCAAUACUCUAUUUCUUUUUUCCAUGAGAUUUACUUCCUUAUAGGUCUGUUCUUUUUGUUGUUUUAUGUUUGUUAUUCUUAUAAGUAGUGCACUCCUAGUUUGAACUUAACCUAGUUUCACCAAGUAUCUGUUGCUAUAGGCAUUGGGACCUGCUAUGUUAAGGUGGAUGACGAUGGAUCUGGCUUUUCACGAGAUGGACGGUGCUGAUGGGAGAAAGACAUGGAUUGCAUGCAGUGGGGAUGACUUGCUUUGCACAAGUGCGUCUCCUUCUCCCUGCCGCUGUUGUCCAGUGGAUUUGGGAUUCCUCUGAGUUCCCUUAAACAAAUUGAAUGCAAGCAUUAUGGGAGAACAAUGCUAAACCACAUUUCUAGCUUCUUUUGGUUGCAAAGCCAGACAUGCCAAUGUUAACAAGGACAUGUCAUACAUAUUUGUUUUACUGAUUGGACCAACUUAUAAUCUAACAAAACUUUGUGAAGCAACCUUCGAACUUGGUCUCUUGUUGAGUAUUUGCAUAAAAGUUCUCCUCUAAUCUUGGUGAUUCACCGGCUUGUCUGAGGACAAAAGGUAAGGUGCUCCUAAUUUGUUGGAUUGUAAGACCUUAACUUUUGAAGCAAACUCUUCCAAAGAGAUGUACGAGUUGAUCAAUCCUACAAAAUUGAACCUGUAAGGGCUAUUGGUCUUCUGAAA